GACGGAGGGGGCAAGCGUUGUCCGGAGUUACUGGGCGUAAAGCGCACGUAGGCGGCUCAGUGCGUCGGUGCUGAAAGCGCCGGGCUUAACCCGGCGAGGCGUGCCGAUACGACUGGGCUCGAGGCAGGCAGAGGGUGGCGGAAUUCCGGGUGUAGUGGUGAAAUGCGUAGAGAUCCGGAGGAACGCCGGUGGUGCAGACGGCCGCCUGGGCCUGCCCUGACGCUGAGGUGCGAAAGCGUGGGGAGCGAACAGG
rnacentral:rRNA from 1 species